AUGAACGCUGGCGGCGUGCCUAAUACAUGCAAGUCGAGCGAACGGACGAGAAGCUUGCUUCUCUGAUGUUAGCGGCGGACGGGUGAGUAACACGUGGAUAACCUACCUAUAAGACUGGGAUAACUUCGGGAAACCGGAGCUAAUACCGGAUAAUAUUUUGAACCGCAUGGUUCAAAAGUGAAAGACGGUCUUGCGGUCACUUAUAGAUGGAUCCGCGCUGCAUUAGCUAGUUGGUAAGGUAACGGCUUACCAAGGCAACGAUGCAUAGCCGACCUGAGAGGGUGAUCGGCCACACUGGAACUGAGACACGGUCCAGACUCCUACGGGAGGCAGCAGUAGGGAAUCUUCCGCAAUGGGCGAAAGCCUGACGGAGCAACGCCGCGUGAGUGAUGAAGGUCUUCGGAUCGUAAAACUCUGUUAUUAGGGAAGAACAUAUGUGUAAGUAACUGUGCACAUCUUGACGGUACCUAAUCAGAAAGCCACGGCUAACUACGUG
rnacentral:rRNA from 1 species